CACGGGGGGAGCGAACGUUGUUCGGAAUCACUGGGCGUAAAGGGCGUGUAGGCGGUUCGGUAAGUGGAAUGUGAAAUCCCCCGGCUUACCCGGGGAACUGCAUCCCAUACUGCUGGACUUGAGUGCGGGAGAGGAUGGAGGAAUUCCUGGUGUAGCGGUGAAAUGCGUAGAUAUCAGGAGGAACACCUGUGGCGAAGGCGUCCAUCUGGCCCAUUACUGACGCUGAUGCGCGAAAGCUAGGGGAGCAAACGGG
rnacentral:rRNA from 1 species